rnacentral:ncRNA from 2 species
CCUACACACCUUGUUACGGGUGCCCUUCACAGGGUGAAACGGGAAACCGGUGCGUCACAGGCCAAAAGCCUUGAUCAGUCCGGUGCUGCCCCCGCAACGGUAAGCGAGCGAAGAAUCAGAUCCACUGUGCCAGCAGUCCGGCAUGGGAAGGCGAUUCUUGCAGGCGUGGCGCAAGCCCCACCCCUCGCGAGCCCGGAGACCGGCCCGCUACACAGUCAUAAC